GUCCACGCCGUAAACGAUGAUCACUCGUGAUUGGCGAUAUACGGUCAGUCACCUAGCGAAAGCGUUAAGUGAUCCACCUGGGGAGUACGGCCGCAAGGCUGAAACUCAAAGGAAUUGACGGGGGCCCCGCACAAGCGGUGGAGCAUGUGGUUUAAUUCGAUGAUACGCGAGGAACCUUACCAGGGCUCGAACGUACGUUGACAGGGGCGGAAACGUCCUCUUCUUCGGACAACGUGCGAGGUGCUGCAUGGCUGUCGU
rnacentral:rRNA from 1 species